rnacentral:misc_RNA from 1 species
AACGCACAUUGCGCCCGCCAGUAUUCUGGCGGGCAUGCCUGUCUGAGCGUCAUUUCAACCCCUCAGGCCCCUUGCGGCCUGGUGUUGGGGAUCGACCAACCCCUCGGGCGGUCGGCCCUGAAAUACAGUGGCGGUCCCGUCGCGGCCCCCUCUGCGUAGUAGCACACCUCGCAGUGGAGAGCGGCGCGGCCACGCCCAAACCCCAUACUUUUUAAGGUUGACCUCAGAUCAGGUAGGAAUACCCGCUGAACUUAA